rnacentral:lncRNA from 1 species
GAAGUUCAACCUGAUGUGGAAGAAACUUGAGGACGUCACAAAGAAGCAAUGCGAGGAACUAGUGAAGAGGGCGGUCAAUAGUGAGGCCGACCAACCUGUGUCUCUGGAGGACGUCGGGCUCGACGGGCCAAACGUCAGGCGAAGACGGGGAAGAUCCAUCAAGUCCUUCUCAUAGUGGAUUGAGAAUGAACCGAAGGAAAAGUGGACAUUACUCUUUGAUGAAGGAGGUGCACGGUGGGGUAUAAUGAUGAGAAACGUCAGGAGAAUGACUUCUUAUUUUUUAUCAUUUGUAGGAUUAUGAUGUGUACAAUUAUCUUUAUGUGCGAGGAAUGCUCUAUCUAGAUAAGAAGUUAAAUGCUUUUCAUUGUUCGUGUGCGUUCACUAUACAAGUCUAAACAUUUCCCAAUUAAGAAUUAAAAGCACACAAUUAAAAUAAUCGAUCACUACGAAUGAAAAUCGUGCGGCAAAUAACGGAGUACAUGGCCUAAGCACAACACAAUGAAAGGUCCAACAGCACACAACAUUAUUCAUGAAUAAACCAUGGACACACAACGAAAGGUCCAACCGCACACAACGGAGUACUAGCCAAUAACAGAGCCUACUGAGUACAACGAGGCCACUUUCCCUUCCUGAGGGCAUCGGGGUUCUCCUCCAUCGCUGCUUUCGCUCGGCGUGCACGCUCAAGCUUCCUCUCCCUCUCCUCCCUCUCCGCAGCAAGACGCCUCAUUUCCUCCUCUUCCUUGUGCUCCUUCUCUGCAGCCUCCUUUGUGAGCCUCUUCUCCAUCCUCUCCUUGUUCUCUGCCGUCCAACGCAACAUGUACUACAUCUCCUCCUUUUCCUCAGGCUUGAUCUCAGUGUCAAUCCACUGCUCAAAAUCACAGAGCGGUGGAGGGGUCUGCAACAAAUGUAAUUAUUACAAAAUAAAAAAAUCAUGCAAAAUAUCAUAUGACACAAAAUAAUUAUUGCACAACAUCAAUUCCUCACCAUCUUGUUAAGCGGCGUGAUGAAGUGUAGGCUCAAACGCAAAAUUGGAGCACAUCCAAUACCUCUGCCUAUACGUGUCCUCUUCAUCGGACUUGGCUACCUUGCAAGGAUCGUCGCAAAAGCACAUGGGCACUAGAACACCACUAGGCAGAGGCAAAGGGUCGAAGGCAUUUCCGGUCAACCGAACACCACUCCACCUUUACCAUUUUCGUUGUAAGAACCGGAAGAACUAAGAUUAAAUCAUACGACUACCAGUUAACAUAAUAACGUGCACUGAGAUUACCUUGCUUUUCCACACCUUGGUAUCCUACGGUUGUAUAAUAAAAAUAUUAAAAUUUCAUGAAACUAUAAUAGUAAAUACUUCUAGAUCUAAAUACUAAACUAUGAACUGAAAACCAAAUCUACUAUACUAACUAAACUACAUUUUUAACAUCUAAAAGCACACAACAUAUCUGUAGAUCUAAAUACUAAACUACGAACUAAAUACCGAAUCUACUGUACAAACUAAGCUAGAUUUUUAGCAUCUAAAAGCACAAGAUAUUUUUAGAUUUACUAUACUACGAUAUUGAAAAACUUACCUGAUGACUAGGAGGUUUCUUCCCCUUCUUUCCUCUCUUUCUUUCUUCCUUCCCUUCCUUCUCUCCCUCUCUUGUUCUCCUCUCAAAAACAACAGGAGAGCUGGGUGGCCUGAGGCCUGGCUGCGGGGGGUUUUUGUAGGGGGAACCCCCGCCGGCCCAGGUGGCGGCAAGGGUCCUUACCGCCAGCCCAGGUGGCGGCAAGGAUCCUUACCGCUAGCCCAGGCGGCGGUAGGGAGUUAUCGCCGGCUGGGCCGGCGGUAAUGACAUACAUGGGCCGACGGGGUUGGCGCUUUACCGCCGGCUAAGGUGACGGUAAGGCCCUUCCGCCGCCUGGGCCGGCGGCAAUAGCCUAGAUUUGCAAUUUUUCCAUCCCACUAUAUAUUUCUGCAAAAUCGAAAAAAAAAUAUAAAAAUAAAAAAAAUUCGCCGACGAUGAUGAAGCUUGGCCCACAUGCGAUAUAAUAUGGCCCAUACGCGCCAGAGAGCACACACUGGAAAUGCAUGCACUUUACCACAUCUAACCUUGGGGCAAGUUUAACAAGUUGGCAAGUAUUUGGUUGGACAACUAAUCUUUAGCAAGAUUCUUUAGGUUCCAUAUGUCAUAUGGCAAGAUUCUUUGGGUUCCAUAUGUCAUAGAGACAAAAAGUGUGGCAACAUUCUCUUUGCCGUGGCUUCAAAUUUAUUUUCCAUACUUUUUUUGACUUGCCAUACUUGCCAAAGGUUAGGUGUGGCAAAUGGUAGCUAGCAAUCACCCACACGUGGAAAAUUGGAAGACUGCAGAAUUGACUGAGAAGCACGAGUGAUUGUUGACUGAGAAGCACUAGUGAUUGUUGGGCAAUGUCUAAGAUAACAACCAAAUGAUUUUUGUUUGAGCUCAUCCAACCCCACAUGCAUUUAUUUAUUUCGUAGUUGGAAAUUUUGAUCGUCAAGCAUGUGGGCAUCAAGCCAUCAAAAUAGUUAAAGAAGAAGACUUAUUUAAAGAGCAGGUCGAAGAGUUGCAUGUUUGGAUAGAUAUUCUUGUUCCUCGUUGAGGGAUCCAGUAUCAGAAUCCUGAUUCCACUGACAGAAUAUGAAAGAUACACACAAAAAAUAGACAAAAUAAACAAUCAUUAACCCUUCCUUCCACUGCUAAAGAAAUCACAAUCUUCCUUGACCCAACUCCUCGAAAACACCAUGAACCCUAACCAGCCAAACCACCUUCUAAUAGUGUAGUCGUAAAUGAAACCAAAGGAGAAAAAAAGAAAAAGGAAAAGGAAAAGGAAAAGGAAAGAAAAGAACACGAAGCCUAACUUUCUCUGGAGAGAAAAUGUAGGAUAUAAUUUGACCGACAGAUUUGAGGACACAGAGGUGGAAAUGCAAUAAUUUGAUUAAUUUCUAGAGCUACAGAUCGAAUUCGGAAAACCCACUAACAUGCAGAUCAAAGGCCAGUUCAGCGAGAAUUGCGGGAAAUCCAAAACAAGAGACAGGUGCGAUGGGCCGAAAAUUAAGAAAUGAAUGACACGCAGCACAAAAUACGGCCCACAUGUACCAAACAAACAGAACAAAGAAAAGUGAUUGCACGAAUCUACAGGAAUCUUGAAGGAAAACAAACAAAAAGUCAAACCGAUGAUACAUAAAAAUUCCGUAUUUUUAAGAUAAAUAAGCUCAGACUUAGGACAUGUUUAUAUAGACUUUCUCUUUUUUUAAAGCUAGCUUUGGUGGGUUGCUAGUUGAAACUGAAAAAGGGUUAUUUGGUCUGAAUUCAAAUUUGAAGGAAUAAUACAUGUCAAAUAUGUGAUGUAUAUACCCCUCGGAACAAUAUCCUACAGAAGCUAAAAAUUCCCCUCCGCACCUGCUUUUUUUGCUUAACUUCUAGAAGCCCAUUGCUUGUUUCACCUCUUGGCUUUUGACAUGCACAAGAAGCUAACAAAAACUGAAAUAAACAGGACCUGUUACGGUGCUUCUUAAAUGGGUACCUUUGCAAGUUACUAUUUGUGUGUGUGAGAGAGAGGGGGCUAAAAUUAGAGAGAUAGUUGUUCGGGCCAGCCCAUACAAGACGUCCAGCUUGGUUGGCCCAAUAACUUCUGAGAGAGCCCACCGCAUCACAUGCAAUAAAAAAAAAAUAGCACACAUCUCACUGUCAGCAGCCCAGCCUUGACUUGCCCUACGGUACAUUGAACAAACACCAGUGCAAGCGUGCAACAGCAACACAUCAUGUCAUCAUGACCCUUGAACGAACUAUCUUCCUUAACCCUGGUUAUCAACGCAGUCUAAAGCACCCAAACAAACCAAAGUCCCAAAUAAACCCAAUGGAAUCCGUAGCGGACACCUAACCUGAGAUUCCAACGCCCUCUGCCUCCCUCGGCCCUUCUCGCUUUCCCUGGCUGCUUUUUUCUUUGCCUGCCUUUCGCUUUCUCCUCCACCACCAGACCACCACCACCGCACACCUUUCGCUUAGUUUUCCCCCACCCACUUAACCCCUAAGCAAGCCAAGCUCGCCAAGGCUCCUCCUCCCCCCGCGCGGCUAUAAAUUGGAGGCCCCUUCCAAGCCCCAAUUCCCUUUUCCCCUUCUCUCCACUCGCCUCUCUAGGUUUCCUUGCAGCUGCAUGCUGUCCCGCUGCAGCUGUUGACCUCUGCCGCCC